UGGAAGUGUAAGCCGAAGUGUAAGCCGAAU
rnacentral:piRNA from 1 species